rnacentral:rRNA from 1 species
GACAGAGGGUGCAAACGUUGUUCGGAAUUACUGGGCGUAAAGCGCGUGUAGGCGGCUAUGCAAGUCGGGCGUGAAAGCCCUCGGCUCAACCGAGGAAGUGCACUCGAAACUGCGUAGCUAGAGUCCCGGAGAGGAAGGUGGAAUACUUGGUGUAGAGGUGAAAUUCGUAGAUAUCAAGUGGAACACCGGUGGCGAAGGCGGCCUUCUGGACGGUGACUGACGCUGAGACGCGAAAGCGUGGGGAGCGAACAGG